rnacentral:RNase_P_RNA from 1 species
CAACCAUUUUGAACAAUCGCGCGGUAACAUACCGAAAGGUCUUACCGUGAGGAAAGUCCGGGCUUCACAGAGCAGGAUAACGGAUAACAUCCGCCGAAGGCGACUUCCGGGCCAGUGCAACAGAAAUAAACCGCCUGAAUUUUUCAGGUAAGGAUGGAAAGGCGAGGUAAGAGCUCACCGGUGUGUCGGAGACGGCACAGCCAUGUAAACCCUAUCCGAAGCAACACCCUAUCGGGCGCUAAUGCUUGCUCGGCAGCCCACUGGGUGGCAAGAGGUGUGUGGCAACACGCAUCCCAGAUAGAUGAUUGUUCACGACAGAACCCGGCUUACAGAAAAGGUUGCGGC